rnacentral:sRNA from 1 species
AGACGUCCGCUGUGCUGUCCUCACAGCAAGGCCUGCUCCGAUGCCCCGGGGUGGGUCAGCAGCCCUCCUCAAACACCCUGGGAGUACCCAGCAGGGCGGAACACAUCGGGAAACCAACACCCCAAAGGCACAAGGAAGUAGCCCUGGAGCUAAAAAUAGUUCUGGAAACUUGCCAGGGGGCCACAGGCUGGGACGUGCGUUAAGGCUCCCUGGCCAGGCUCUGGGUUGGUGUAGUGGGGAAGGGGCGCCCAGGUCGGCCCUGGGAGGACAUGAAGAGGCUUAGGCCGAGGGCUCUCAGAUGUAUUUACCUCUGUGCCUGGCAGCUGGCCCGUGGUGACAGGCAGAGCUGGAGGCUGGCCAUCUUGGAAGGCGGCCGAAGGCCCAUGUGUCCUCUUGGCCUCUGGCCCCGGAGGGCGGAUGGGGAUGUGGAGGUUGCUGACAGAGCAUUUUGUGAGCUGUUGCGUCAGGGGCUGGGGGGUCUACAGUGCAGGGAAGCUCAGCAGUGUUGUUCACUCCCAUGCAUCUGUACAAAGGGGCGCUAGGCUUGGGAGGGGGCCCCCGUGUUCACAACCUCACCCCCAAGUUGGCCACUCCUGGGUUAGAGACUAUGCCAGGGUUGGCCUGCCCCCUUUACCUCUUCCCUGCCCCCAGAGAGCCUUGCUUGGCUUGUGGGAGGUGGGGAAGGGAGCUGAGAGCCCUGGGAUCUUCAAACUGUUCCUGCUUUUCCUUCUAGCUAAGAGGCCGGUGUCACCAUACAGCGGAUACAACGGGCAGCUGCUGACCAGUGUGUACCAGCCCACUGAGAUGGCCCUGAUGCACAAAGUUCCGUCCGAAGGAGCUGCUUACGACAUCAUCCUCCCACGGGCCACCGCCAACAGCCAGGUGAUGGGCAGUGCCAACUCGACCCUGCGGGCUGAAGACAUGUACUCGGCCCAGAGCCACCAGGCGGCCACACCGCCGAAAGACGGCAAGAACUCUCAGGUAAGCGAACUGACCCAGAGAGGCCAGGCCAACACCAACCAGGUUUUCCUAAGACUCUGACGUCCAGCAGCCUUUCUCCGUGGCCCACCCUGGGCUCAGUCCCCACAAAGUAAAACGAGAUGGUAGAAGCCCUCUUCCCGGGACUGCACGGCAUCCUGAUCCUCAUUCCUCUGUACCCAGGCUGGACCGGGCCCAGCACCUUUCCCAUCCUUGUCAUUGGAGCUGGGAGGGGCCGGAGGCCACCGACCUGAAGCAGUGGACCGAGUGGGCCCCCCUGAAGCCCUGAGUGUGGGACUGGAGCACCUAGGGCCACCUCCCUUUCCUGCCCAGCCCAUCUUCCUGGUCCCCAGGUGGCUGCAGCUACAAGGAGCUGUCCGCGGGCCCCCAGGCUGCCUCCGACUCCCCUCUUGACACGCCCCCCUCCCCCCAAAUCAUAGUCCCUGUGUCCCCAAGCUGUGGUUCUUCAGAUUGCCUUCUUCCCCUCUGUGAACAACAGGCCUCAGUGCCCCAUCUUGACUCUGGACCUUCCUGGCCCUGCCAUCUUGGUGUCUGGCACUGGCUUGUCCCACCCUCUGCCUAGAUGGAUCUCCUCCAUGAGUCUUUGGAGCCAAGCCAGGGCAGAAGUUGGCCCUUGCCCUUCUCACCAGGGCCUCCUGCCACCACCUGGACUGUGGAAGGCCACUGAGAUGGGGGCAGAGCUCAGCCCGAGGCUUGGGCACACUGCUUCUCUCCACGGCCUGUGGGUCCCGGAUCUGAGCCCCUGGGGUGUUUCACUCAAGAACCCCUGAGCCAUCCCCAUCUUCCACAAAGCAGUUUCCACAAGCAAGCCAGGGCCAGCCCUGCCUGCACUCUGCCCGCAGUGCCCCUCACCAUCUGGGAUGAGGAUGAGCCUGCUGAGAUGAGGGCAGCUCUCUCCAUCCAGCAGUACCUCAUGGAGUGCUCACUAAGGAGUUAGGAAUGGCCGGCCACGCUGGCAUCUGGGGUUCAAGGUGGCUCCUGUGGCAGGAACAGGUGUCCAUGGCCCUGAUUACCUGGAUCUCACAGGUUCUGGGAAUGCAGUAGGGGCCUGCUGUGGCUAUUCCAACAUCUCUGGUCAGGGCCUGGAAGUACCUUAGGACACAUGGGGUUGGGGUCAGGACUGCAUUCUCAGGGACCAGUGGAGAGCCCUGGACCAGAUGAACUGGAGUCUAGGCCUCUCUCGUGACUGGGACUUGCGGGACGUGGGAGGCCCGCGAGAUCCAGGACUAAAGAUUAUGCUGUUUCCUAAUGGGCAGAUAUGUAAGUAGGUAAGCGGGAUCCUCAGGUAAGCGGGAUCCAGAACUAAAGACUGUGCUAUUUCCUG